GGCGGGGCCGUUGGGGGGUGUCCUCCGCAGAAGGCGGCCCCAACCCGCAGCCCGGGGCCCCUCUCUGAAGACCGGGAGGUUCGGCUCCUCCUCGGCAGACCCAGAGGGGUGAGGAGGGCAGCAACCGGGCUGGGCCAGGCACGCUGGAUUUUGGGACUCCACCCCUAAGCGCGUGCCUGCCCCCUUACCUGGCUGCUGAUGCCAGUUGCGAUGUCUCCCACCUUGACCCGGUGGAACUCCCGGAUGUGCAGGUGUUCACCAUUGAGAGACUGUAUUUGGACUUUCA